UACGGAGGGUGCAAGCGUUAUCCGGAUUCAUUGGGUUUAAAGGGUACGUAGGCGGAGUGAUAAGUCAGUGGUGAAAGCCCGUAGCUUAACUACGGAACUGCCAUUGAUACUGUUGCUCUUGAGUGCGGUUGAGGUAAGCGGAAUGUGGCAUGUAGCGGUGAAAUGCAUAGAUAUGCCACAGAACACCGAUUGCGAAGGCAGCUUACCAAACCGUAACUGACGCUGAGGUACGAAAGCGUGGGGAGCAAACAGG
rnacentral:misc_RNA from 1 species